CUGAGGGAUUUUUAGUCGGACAAAUCAACCCCAGGACUUAUUCUUUAUUCAGGCACAGAGUUGUUUGGAGUUUAACAAUCAUGGUUGGAGGCCACAAGUUUUACUUCUUUUGGAAUUCAGAAAGAGACGGUUUCCAAAGCACCACUUACCGAAUCCUCGGAUCAGUUCCGUAAAUACUCCCGGAUCGCUUUCUAUUAGACACCAAUCUCCGGCAGUACCUGACAUUGUGUUGGAAAUUAAGAUUUGAAAAA